GGAAACCGCUGACCGCACGGCUCCUAUUCCCAGCAGCCCCGUGCUGCUGUCGCCCACACUACCUCUUCCUUGCGGCUUCCGGCCCCCGCAGCCUCAGUACCUCUGCCAUCUCGUUUGCAGAAGUCCAGGUUCAGGCCCCUCCUGUUGUUGCGGCAACUCCCGCACCCACAGCGGUACCUGAGGUGGCUUCUGGAGAGACUGCAGAUGUAGUCCAAGCUGCUGCAGAACAGAGCUUCGCUGAACUGGGGCUGGGGUCAUACACCCCAGUGGGACUGAUCCAGAAUUUACUGGAAUUUAUGCAUGUUGACCUGGGCCUACCUUGGUGGGGGGCCAUUGCUGCAUGUACAGUCUUUGCCCGCUGCCUGAUUUUUCCUCUCAUCGUGACGGGCCAGCGAGAGGCAGCCAGGAUCCACAAUCACUUGCCAGAGAUCCAGAAGUUUUCCAGUCGAAUCAGAGAGGCCAAGUUGGCAGGAGACCAUAUUGAGUAUUACAAGGCUUCCUCGGAGAUGGCAUUUUACCAGAAAAAACAUGGUAUUAAACUCUAUAAACCUCUCAUUCUCCCUGUGACUCAGGUGAGCAAAAACAUUUCCUUCCUUAUUUCAUCCAGUACCCAUCAAAUUUCCUCUCUGUGUUUCAUGUGCCCCAGGUCCCCCAAAAAACAGGUGGUGGUGGAUUGUACAUGGCUUUCAGUAGUGGGGUGAUGAAAAUGUUCCCUCUGGUAAAGCAUGCUGACACUGUUUAUCUUGUGUAAUAGGCCCCAAUCUUCAUCUCCUUCUUCAUUGCUUUGAGAGAGAUGGCCAACCUUCCUGUGCCCAGCCUGCAGACAGGUGGCCUCUGGUGGUUCCAGGAUCUCACGGUAUCCGAUCCCAUCUACAUAUUACCACUGGCAGUCACGGCUACAAUGUGGGCUGUCCUUGAGCUAGGUGCUGAGACAGGUGUGCAAAGUUCUGACCUUCAGUGGAUGAGAAAUGUGAUCAGAGUGAUGCCCCUGAUAACCUUGCCCAUAACCAUGCAUUUCCCCACGGCAGUGUUUAUGUACUGGCUCUCCUCCAAUUUGUUUUCCCUGGUCCAAGUAUCCUGUCUCCGGAUUCCAGUAGUACGCACUGUACUUAAAAUCCCCCAGCGUGUUGUACAUGACCUUGACAAAUUGCCUCCACGGGAAGGCUUCCUAGAGAGCUUCAAAAAAGGCUGGAAAAAUGCUGAAAUGACACGUCAGCUGCGAGAGCGUGAACAACGCAUGCAGAAUCAGUUGGAGCUAGCAGCCAGGGGUCCCUUACGACAGACCUUUACCCACAACCCUCUCCUACAACCUGGAAAGAAUAACCCUCCCAAUAUCCCUAGCAGCAGCAGCAAACCAAAAUCAAAGUAUCCCUGGCACGACACGCUUGGCUGACUUAUGUUCCGUGCGCAUUCUGGCAGGAACUCUGUCUCUUCAGAGACUCAUCCUCAAAACAAGACUUGACACUGUGUCCUUGCCCCAGUCCUAGGAACUGUGGCACACAGAGAUGUUCAUUUUCAAAACGGAUUUCAUGAAACACUCUUAUACUCAUGUUUAUAAGAGAGCACUGGGUAGCCAAGUGAUCUUCCCAUUCACAG
rnacentral:sRNA from 1 species